GAAAAAAAUAAUAGAAAGAAAUUAGGAUGAGGGAAAGCGCAUGUGGCACUUCCUCUAUCUUCUGCUGGCGCUCCUGUCCUCCGCAGGUGCUCGCUGUCCUCCAAUGGCACUCCACUUCUAUCCUCUGACAGCGCGCUAGUAACCUCCGCAGGUGUGCUUCCUCUAAUCUCCGCCGGCGCGUUGCAUCUAUACUCCGAUGGCGCUCCCGUCCGCCGCAGGUGCUCCCUGUUCUCUGCAGAUGCUCCCGUCCUCUGCAGGCGCUCGCUGUCCUCUGCUGGUGCUCCACAUCUAUCCUCCAAUGGCACACAACCUGUAACCUCCGCCAGGGUGCUACCUCUUAUCCUCUGCUGGCGCGCUACCUCUAUCUUCUGACGGUGCUCUGUCCUCGGCAGGCGCUCCCUAUUCUCCGCAGGUGCUCCCGUCCUCUACAGGUGCUUGCCGCCCUCAGCAGGUGCUCCACCUCUGUCUUCUGGAAGCGCGCUAUCUCUAAACUCCACUGACGCGCUACCUCUAUCGUCUGACGGUGCUCCCAUUCUCUGCAGACGUUCCCUGUUCUCCGCAGGUGCUCCCAUCCUCCGCAGAUGCUCCAUCACUAUCAUCCAAUGGCGCGCUACCUCUAUCUUCUGACAGUGCUCCUGUCAUCCGCCGGCACUCCCUGUUCUCCUCAGCUACUCCCAUCCUCCGCAAAUGCUCCACAUCUAUCCUCCGACGGCGCACUAUCUGUAACCUCCACCAGUGUCCUACCUCCUAUCUUCUGCUGGCGCUCUACCUCUAUCCACUGGCGGCACACUACGUCUAUCCGUUGCUGGUGUGUUACCACUAAACUCAGCCAGCGAGAUACCUCUAUCUUCUAACGGCGCUCCAGUCCUCCGCAGGUGCUUCCUGUUUUCCUCAGGUGCUCUCGUCCUCUGCAGGCACUCGCUGUCCUCCACAGGCACUCCACCUCUAUCAUCUGACAGAACACUACAUCCAACCUCGGCCGGUGCACUACAUCCAUCCUCCAAUGGCAAGCUACCUCUAACCUCCGCUGGCGUGCUACCUCAAUCUUCUGACGGUGCUCCCAUCCCCCACAGGUGCCGCACCUCUUUCCUCUGCUGGCGCACUUCCUCAAUCCUCUGCCGGUGCACUACCUCUACACUCUGAUGAUGUUCCCAUACUGUGCAGGCAAUCCCUGUUCUCCACAGGUGCUCCUGUCCUCUACAGGCGCUCACCGUCCUCUGGAGGCAAUCCACCUCAAUCUUCUGAAGGCAUGCUAUUGCAAAACCCAGCCAGCGAAUUACUUCUAUUUUCUUACGGUGCUCCCAUCGUCCGCAGGCGCUCCCUGUUCUACGCAGGUGCUCCCAUCCUCCGUAGAAACUCCACCUCUAUCAUCGGAUGGCGAAACAGAACCUCCACCUUGAUGCUCCGACAGCGCACUACCGGUAACCUCCGCCUGUGCACUAUCUUCUACCUCUAUCUUCCGAUCGCGCUCCUGUCAUUUGCAGGCACACCUUGUUCUCUGCAGGUGCUCCCGUACUCCGUAGAAACUCCACCUCUAUCAUCGGAUGGCGCACUACAUCUAACCUCUGCCAGCAAACAAACUCUGUUUUCUGACGGUGAUCCCAUCCUCUGCAAUCACUCCCUGUUCUCCACAGGUGCUCCUUUCAACCACUGACAUUCUACCUCUAUCCACGAACAGCACACUACCUCUAACCUCCGAUAGCGCGCUAACUCUUAUCCUCUGCCAGGAUGCUACUGCUAACCUCCGACGGCGCACGACCUCUAUCUUCAGAUGGUGCUCCCGUCAUCUGCAGGUGCUCCCUGUUUUCCGCAGGUGCUCCUGUCCUCGGCAGAUGCUCCACCUCUAUCCCGUGAUGGCACACUACAUAUAACCUCUGCCGGCGCACUAAUUCUGUCUUCUGACGGCGCUCCUGUCCUCCACAGUCACUCCCUGUUCACCACAGGUGCUCCCAUCCUCCGCAGACCCUCAACGUCGAUCCAGUGACAGAGCACUACCUCUAACCUCUGCCAGCAUGCUACCUCUUUCUUCUGACAGCGCACCCAUCAUCUGCAGGCGCUCCUUGUUCUCCACAGGUGCUCCUGUCCUCUGCAGAUGCUCCACCUUUAUCCUCUGAUGAUGCACUACAUCUAACCUCUGCCGGCGCACUAACUAUGCCUUCUGACAGUGCUCCCGUCCUCCAGAGGUGCUCCCUGUUCUCCGCAGGUGCUACGAUCCUCCGCAGACCCUCCACCUCGAUCCUCUGAUGGCACACUACCUCUAACCUCUGCCGGCGCACUACCUCUAUCUUCUAACCACGCUCCCAUCAUCUGCAAGCAGUCUCUGUUCUCCGCAGAUGCUCUCGUCCUCCGCAAACGCUCCAACUCGAUCCUCUGAUGAUGCACUACAUGUAACCUCUGCCGGCGCACUAACUCUGUCUUCUGAUGGUGCUCCUGUCCUUGGCAAUCGCUUCCUGUUCUCCGCAGGUGCUCCCAUCCUCCGCAGAAGUUCCAGCUCUAUCCUCUGAGAGUGCACUACCUCUAUCCUCUGCCGGGGCACUAACUAUGCAUUCUGACAGUGCUGCCAUCAUCUACAGAUGUUCUGUGUUCUCUGCAGGUAACCCCAUCAACCACAGGUGCUUUACAUCUAUCCUCUGAAGGCACACUACAUCUAACCUCUGCCGGCGCACUAACUAUGCCUGCUGACAGCACUCCUGUCCUCCGCAGGUGCUCCCUGUUCUCAUGAGGUACUCCGAUCCUCCGCAGACACUCCACCUUGAUCCUCUGAUGGCACACUACCUCUAACCUCUGCUGGCACAAUACCUAUAUCUUCUAACCACGCUCCCAUCAUCUGUAAGCAGUCUCUGUUCUCCACAGAUGGUCUUGUCCUCCGCAGACGCUCCAACUCGAUCCUCUGAUGAUGCACUACAUCUAACCUCUGCCGGCGCACUAUGUCUUCUGACAGCGCUCCUGUCCUCCGCAGGUGCUCCCUGUUCGCUGCAGGUGCUCCCAUCCUUCGCAGACCCUCCACCUUGAUCCUCUGAUGGCACACUACCUCUAACCUCUGCUGGCACACUACCUCUAUCUCCUAACCACGCUCCCAUCAUCUGCAAGUGGUCUCUGUUCUCCGCAGAUGCUCUUGUCCUCCGCAGAUGCUCCAACUCGAUCCUCUGAUGAUGCACUACCUCCAAACUCUGCCGGCGCACUACCUCUAUCUUCUGACAACGCUCCCAUCAUCUGCCGGCGCUCUGUGCUCUCUGCAGUUGCUCCCGUCCUCCGCAGAUGCUCCAUCUAUAUCCUCUGAAGGCACACUACAUCUAACCUCUGCCGGCGCACUAACUAUGUCUUCUGACAGCACUCCUGUCCUCCGCAGGUGCUCCCUGUUCUCCUCAGGUACAUCGAUCCUCCCCAGACGCUCCACCUCGAUCCUCUGAUGGCACACUACCUCUAACCUCUGCCGGCGCACUACCUCUAUCUUCUGACAACGCUCCCAUCAUCUGCCGGCGCUCUGUGCUCUCUGCAGUUGCUCCCGUCCUCCGCAGAUGCUCCAUCUAUAUCCUCUGAAGGC
rnacentral:lncRNA from 1 species